AUUGAACGCUGGCGGAAUGCCUAACACAUGCAAGUCGAGCGGGGGUAGCAAUACUUCAGCGGCGGACGGGUGAGGAACACAUAGGAACCUGCCUUUAGGUGGGGGAUAGCUUGGGGAAACUCAAGGUAAUACCGCAUGAUCUCUAACGAGCAAAGGGGCGCAAGUCUCGCCUUUAGAGGGGCCUAUGUCUGAUUAGCUAGUUGGUGGUGUAAUGGACCACCAAGGCGACGAUCAGUAACUGGUUUGAGAGAACGAUCAGUCACACCGGAACUGAGACACGGUCCGGACUCCUACGGGAGGCAGCAGUGGGGAAUAUUGGACAAUGGGCGAAAGCCUGAUCCUGCAAUUCCGCGUGUGUGAAGAAGGCCUUCGGGUUGUAAAGCACUUUAAGCAGGGAAGAAAAAGCUUGGCCACACCAAGCCUUGACGGUACCUGAAGAAUAAGCACCGGCUAACUCUGUGCCAGCAGCCGCAGUAAAAC
rnacentral:rRNA from 1 species